ACGUAGUGGUACGCGGGGAAGGGAGAGAGGUUAGGGAGGAACGGAAAAAAGUUGAGGCUUUCAUCACCGUCGCCGCCGUCAAGGAUGAGGGAUCCACUGACGGCGGCGUCGUCAUCGAAGCGGCGGGAGUGGAAGCAGUAGGAGAAGCGGUCGAGCCGUAGCUGCGUUGGGAAGGAUAGGGCGCCGCAGCAGAAGGCGGUGAAGCCGGUGGGGGGUGGAGAGGAGGCAGUAGGAGCAUCCGAUGAUGAAUCCGGGGACGGAUCGUGUAAUAUACCAAAAAUUCGGAAAAUA
rnacentral:lncRNA from 1 species